rnacentral:rRNA from 1 species
GGAUCAUUAAAUAAAUAUUUUAGGAGAAAAAUUUAUUUUUUUUCUGAGAUUUUUUACUGUGAAAAGUUUUUGUUUUUGACCUGGGCUCGUUGCUUGUAAAAAGGCUUCAGCCCAAAAGUGUGGCCAUAUAACCCGUUUUCGCCCAAUAGAGCGAGGUAGAAUGGAUGAUAUUCACUUUAUUUUUUUAAGGUCAAGCGUACUGUACUAGUACGUAUCUGUUGAGGCACAAACUAUUUUUUUUUAUACUAGAAAAAAUAUUGAAUCUUACUAUUUUUUAUAUAUCUGAGUGACAUUAUUAUUAUAAAGUUAAAUAAAACAACUUUCAACAAUGGAUCUCUAGGUUCUCGCAUCGAUGAAGAACGUAGCAAAUUGCGAUAACUAGUGUGAAUUGCAUUUUCAGUGAAUCAUCGAGUCUUUGAACGCAUCUUGCACUUUAGGGAUUUCCUCUAGAGUACGCCUGUUUCAGUGACAGAACGACCCCACGCCCUUAUAUUUAUUGUUUGGGCGGAAUUGACUGACUGGGUAAACCAUCUGGCCUCACGGCUAGUAGUGCCUAGUGGGUUCAAGUUUUCUAAAAGGCUAGUCUGUCUUCCAUAAGUGGGCACACAUAUUCCUUAUAUCCUUUUGAAAUUAAAACCCUCAAAAAGACAUUAGAAUAUCCAUGGGACUGGAGGACAAUUUAUAGACUUUGGCUUAAACCAAAUGAGAGUAUAUUCUACUCUCUCAAUCUAUGUUCUGAAAUCAGGUGGGAUUACCCGCUGAACUUAAGCAUAUCAUAACGGGGAGAGAAAA